GCCCCUAUGGCGGAAUUGGUAGACGCGACGGAUUCAAAAUCCGUUGAACUUCGGUUCAUGUCCGUUCGAGUCGGACUAGGGGUACCA
rnacentral:tRNA from 3 species